AACCAUAGAAACCUGCGGAGUACCUGCGGAGGGAUCAUCACCACACCGAUCCAACGAUCAACACCCCUGUGAAGUUGUGUGUCGUUUUCUUUCUUUUUGAUGAACCUGCCUUUUGCGGAUUUGUCGGGGGAGCUUGCGUUUCGAGGUGAGGAUGGAUCUUUUGUUUGAGAUCGAUCUACACCUUGGGGGCCUGGUUUCUCUUGCGGUCCCGGAGGUGGGGGAACCACAAACACAUAAACC
rnacentral:misc_RNA from 1 species